rnacentral:rRNA from 1 species
AUGGCUCGUGGCGAUCAUCAAAACGAUGAUGUUGAUUUCAUGGAUCCACCACAGCGUAAUCGGGCAACUGGACGGAUAAAAGAGGGUGAUGAGAAGAAGAAACGUAUUCACAACAGAGCCUCCCAAGAAUGUCUGACUGCGUUGACUGACAAAUUCAUCGACGAUCAGAAAGGGGAUGCUAUUGAGAUGGGUAUGCAGUCUAUGAUGGCUGUCCGGUGCACGAACCUUGUCAACCCUGUAUGCGACUGGCUUGGUGAGAUCUACGAGCCCGCCUCCAGGGAAUUCGUGAUUCCGGGACACGGAAGACUUCCAUUGAACGAGGAAUCCAUGUUCUGCACUUUGGGUGUGCCUCGUGGACAUAUCAAAGUCCCGUACGAGGUCAACAAUGAGAUCGAGGAAGCGCUGUUCCCCCAUUUGUUUCCUGGGUCGGAAUCCAUGCCUAACACGUCUGCAGUGGCAGAUUCGCUGCAGGGCAUGACGACGCAUGGAGAUGUUUUCAAGAUGAAGCUACUCAUGUACCUGAUCUCAGCUGUUUUCGCGCCGACCACCUCUCUUCGCCCAAGCAACAAAUGCUUCCCCAUCCUGGCGGAUCUGAAAAAUGUGAAGAACAUGAAUUUGUGUAAGUUUAUUGCCGACUUCCUCCACGAUGCAUUCUCAAGCAAGAUGUACCAAAAGGGUUGUCGACUGCAUUUAAUGGUCAUGUAUGUCGACUAUCUUGAUCUGUCCAUCGUGGAUUUCACUGGGGUAGGAGGCCCGCCGCCUACGCACAAGUUUGCUGUUUCUGCAUGGACUAUCAACGCUGUCAAGGCUGUGCUUGCCGCAGACAGGGUAAGUGAUACCAAAUAUGGAAAACUGCAGCUGAUGGCCAAGCAUGCUAUAGACUACAGCGUGUUUGGGGGGCCUCAAAACUUUGGAAAGUGGAUGAAUGUGCACUCAGCUCCAUCUUGCCCUACCGAGGCGAGGGCACCUGUUGAGCAUCUAAUUGGGCAGUUUGCAUCCGGAAUGACCGGCUUGCUCGGGAAGUUGGUUGAGGGUUACCAAGAGCCCGGUGACACACAAGAUGAUCUAGAUGGAGACGAUGGCCUCAGCAAGGAUGACGACGAUGACAUGGAGAAUGUGCAACAGGACACCGAUGAUGGUGAACCUGCUGAAGUUCGCGCAGGUGCUAACAAGGGCAAGGAUGCAACAGAUGUCCCCCCACCGGAGAAAGUCAAAGAACAUACGACUGCGAGAGGCGAGGGGGUGUUGCCAUCAAGGAGGGGGAGGGCUCCAGAGGAUGUUGGGCAGGGUUCUCCUGGCAAGAGGUCUAGGACCGAUCCCAUAGCUGCCAGGAGGAGCGAGCCGACCGCUGGUGGACGAGCAGUUACGAAGAAACAGGCGCCAACGCCAACCCGUGUUUCUGCUCGCUUGAACAAAGGUGCCCCCAUUGCCGGUGACACCCCUUCCACCAGGUCUUCUCCUUGUACGACGACGACCAACACCCGGAAUCCUGUCAUGUUGCCAGACCUAAGGAAGCCAGUCAAGAAGGUGAAGAAGACUACUAUGCGCGGGGCCAAGCAUAUCAGUAAGGACCCGCUCGAACGCCUGCAUUCAAAGUUGUCAACAGGGGGCAACUCAGAUGUACAUGAGGCACCAGGCGACAAUACUGCUGCUGCACCAUUGGCCGCUCCCAACAACUCUGAUGCAAGUGUUACAUCGGGGAGUGACGAGUCAGUAUCUGCCAGGACAGCUGAAAUACUGCCAACUCUUCUAGCAAUGAAGGAUGCUGCUGUGAGCCAUGCCACCCCAUCAGCAAGCGUUGAAGUGGACGCUCCUGAGACGAACCUAAGCAAGGAAGAUUCCCUCUCAUCUGACACUGAUUCCAAGCGCGUGCGUGGUGACACUCCUGUGUCCAUGACAGAAGCGGCUGAGGCGGCAGUUCACAAGGAUACGCCAUCUAUAGGUGAGAGUCCUGGCACAACAGCUCCAGCUCCUGUCGGUGCAGAUACUGCUAAGGCGACUGUUUCGCGUGCUGGUCUUCCACCUAGGCGUCGUAGCCCCCGCAAACAACCAACAGACAUACCCAAUGCACCGGCUGUAGCUAGGAGCAGGAGAGACGAGUCUGGUUAUGUUCCUGCGUCCACACUGUUCCCGCCACCUGCCAGAAGCAAUGUGAUGGAGAAACCGGAAGACGGAUCACAACUGAUGCAGGUGUCAAGCCGGGCACGAGUGACGUAG